AUUUAGUUUAUAUGUUAAUUUUACAUGGUGAAUAUUAACAAAUUGACAUCAAAUUAUCAGAAACAUAUCAGCUCAGUGUGGUGAGAGGAAAGACCUACUUGCUACGCCUAAUCAACGCUGCACUCAAUACCCAGCUCUUCUUCAAGAUAGCCAAUCACAACAUGACAGUUGUUGCCAUCGACGCCUCCUACACGACUCCUUAUGAUACAGACGUGGUGGUUAUUGCACCUGGUCAGACCAUUGACAUUCUCGUCAAAUUCAAUCAACUUAACGGAUCUUAUUACAUGGCCGCCACUCCUUACGCUAGCGCUGAUGAUACUGUCGGCUUUGAUAACUCGACAACCAGAGGCAUCAUCGUCUACAAGGGCUACACGUCAUCAACCCCCAUUAUGCCCCCCAUGCCUAACCCUCACGACACGCCGUUGGCCCAUAAGUUCCUCACCAAUCUCACCGGCCUCCCUGGUGGGCCCCACUGGGUCCCAGUCCCACGCAAGGUGGACGAGCACAUGUUCGUGACAGUCGGCGUUAACUUAGCGAUGUGUCCCGAAAAUACCACGUGUCAAGGCUUAUUCAAUAACCGAUUCUCUGCGAGCAUGAAUAACGAGUCAUUCAUGGCCCCGACCAAUACGUCCAUGUUGGAAGCACAUUUUAACAACGUGAACGGGGUUUAUACUAGAGAUUUUCCUAACGAGCCUCCGGUCAAGUUUGACUACACAGACACGAACCUCAGCCUCGACUUAUCCUUGAUAUUUGCGCCAAAAUCAACAAAGGUCAAGACGUUGAAGUUCAAUUCGACAGUACAGUUGGUGUUUCAGAACACAGCAUUUUUGGCCAUCGAGAACCACCCGAUGCAUCUCCACGGCUUCGAUUUCCACGUAUUGGCACAAGGGUUUGGAAAUUACGACCCGAUUAAUGACCCCAAAAAAUUUAACUUCGUUAAUCCGCAAGUACGUAACACAAUUGGUGUGCCGGUCGGAGGAUGGGCUGUGAUCAGGUUUCGAGCAAAUAAUCCUGGUUAGUUUUCUUAAUCAUCUCAUUAAUUAAGUUGCUUUGUAUUUUAAACAUGUUAUAAAUAAAUAAUUUUUGAUAAUUUGUUUUAAAUUAUUAUUUUAGGUAUCUGGUACGUGCAUUGUCACUUGGACGUUCAUCUGCCUUGGGGGCUGGCCAUGGCUUUUGAGGUUGAAAAUGGAGGGACGCCAGAAUCUACUUUGCCUCCACCACCACUUGAUCUGCCGAAAUGUUAGAAGUUGUUUGGCAGACUCCUCGGCUCAAAAUACUGUUUCAUUUUGUAUUCUUGAAAUUAUAAUACCGAGGUCAAUUUCAUUCGUUUGGUUAAAAAUGAAUAAGUUUGUAAUAAGCCUAGUGACAAAUGUAUUGUUUAAGUUGGUCAUCAUUGUUUGUCUAAAAUCAAAGUAACUUAUUAAUUAUUAAUAAUUGAGGUACCUGUCAGGAUGUACCUGUUAGGACAUAAAGGUUAGUUAUAGCGUGCUGUAUGUCAAUAUGUCAAAUGUAAUGAGUGUCGUGUGUCAUUACAUCAUUGGUUCUGUAGUAAAGUCAAAGUGUUGUAAUGAUUAUCAAGUUGUAAUGAAAGUAUUGUUAUUCAAGAUUCUGUCCAUCUCUUCGAUGACUUUCUCUUCCUUCAUUUCUGGCUUUCUCGGUUGACAGUGCCCUAAUUUAUUCAUGAAAUGAUCUGACAGUCUUUUGCUUAUUUAAUUAUGUUAUUUCUUAUCUCGUAUUUUUCUAACAAGAAUACAUUUUUAUAGCUAGUCUACUAAUAUUUUUUAUUUUAUUUUAUAAAAAAGUGAAGUUUUACGUUGGAUUUAAGUGAAUGACAAUAACAUUUAAUAUUUGUUUCGAGUAUAAUACCUCUUCAGUGAAUUAUCCCGUCCCCUUGCUAGAAUAUCAUUUUUUUUUUGAUAAAAAACAACCUCAUGUAUGAACAUCAUUUGGAUUUCUCUCUGAACUGUAUUCCCCUUUAUAGAAGAAAAUAAAUGUUCUAAAUCGUAUUGGGCCCCAAAUCAGCAAAUUAUAGGUUUCUGCACUGGAAGAUGAUCCUCUCCUAAGCGCAGGAUGAGUAUCCUCCUAACCAACCCAUCUAGACCGUUCAAACUUAAUCCAACGGUUGCAAUUAUUAUCACUUUUAGAUGACCAUUUGUUUGGAACCGUUAGAUUAAAUUUGAACAGCCCAGAUGAGCUGAUUAGGAGGAUCCUCAUCCUGAGCUCAGGAGAGGAUCCUCUUCCUUCUGCACUACCAGAGAUUUAGGCUAACCCAUCACAUCAGCCUCCACAUAAGUUCCUAUUACAAAAUGUUGAUAAUCUUGUGUUUAAAAUCUUAUAAUUAACAGCUGUUAAUAAUAAUCCUUGUGAAAAUUGCAUUCCCUCUAAUCUUCUUUUAAUGAAUCUUCACUUUAUCUUAUAUAUAACAUGUUAACGAACUUGAGCGUGACUACUACAAUUUGAUUUUACACGCAUUAAUAGUUUCUCUUACAUGUGAUUAAGUUGUGUCCUUGUUGUCUAAUUUGACUUCGAAAUGAAUUGGCAUCUUGUUUUGAUAGCCUUGAUCACAUUGCAGGGUCGGUUUCCAUACGUGGGAUGUACGUACUCACCUCUCUAGUGUAGGUGAUGAAUAAGAGUGAUUCAAAUAAUAUUAUUGGUUCAAAUGUGCGCCCUUUUCGACCUCAUCUACUCCUAAACAAUAAGACCGUCAUACAUGUACAGUAAUUGAAACAUAAGUUUGACCGUCUAGUUUUAGGGAUUAUGCUUCAAUUAAUGUGGCAAAUCUCCUCCGAAAUUCAUUGCCACUAACAUUCAUGUAUGGCUGUAAAGGGCCUGGAGCAAAUGCAGGAUGAAACUUUCUUGAUGAGUCUUGUGAAACUGGACCAGGGGCAUAUGUAGGGGCACCGCCAUAACUCGAAAAUUCUGCCAUGGCGAGGUGAGGGUUAAGACAAUUGUUUUUCGCGAGAUAAGGCAAGAAUAUUCCUACAUUAUAAAAACAUUUGAUAAAGAAUGUUAGGUACAUCAAAUUAGAAUGCUGUGAUAGUGAUAUUAUAUUGGAUAACCACUAAAACACUAAAAUUAAGAAAAAUCAUCUAUUAUAUGCAUAUAAAUUCCGGAAAGAGAUCAUUUCCGGAUCUCUUCCACCAAGGCCACCGGAUCAAGUGAUCCGGACCCUUGAUAUUUGAUCCAAUGGCUAAAGUUAUUAUAACUUUUAAAGGGGGCCCCUGUUUUUAGCCGUUGGAUCAAAUUUUAAGGGCCUGGAUCACUUGAUCCGGUGGCCUUGGUGAAAGAGAUCCAGAGAGGAUAUCUUUCCGUAAAUUCCAACCAUUUAAAUAGAAACACUGACAUAAAAUAUAAUGAAAUUGAAGGUUACGCACCUCCAAGUGUCUCAAAAGAUUAAGAAUGCUCAACACGUAAUUAAAGGUGAAGGGGCAAAUCGAGAAAAUGGUCAUAAGUCGAGGAGAAAUUUUCAAGUAGGAAAAUAAGCAUUGAUAAAAAUCAGUAAUAUUUGGAUCUAUGAAAUUACAUUAUUGCUCAUAAUUUUUUGUGUGAUAAAAGACUAAUAGCCUUUUCACCCCUUUUUAGUUGACAAAGAAAGUUCUUUUAAUAGGUAGUUCAGAUUUGUUCUUUUUUAAACUUUAAUAAAGUCACUUUGACUGAAGGCCAUGUCCUCAUAUUUAAUUUAAUUUAUAUUAAUUAUUGAGCUGUAAAAAAAUUAUUGUGUUUUUUAGAACCAAAAUGUCAUAUAUGUUGUAGGCAUAAUUUACUGAACAAUUAUGAAGGCCAAGGAGAGAGGGUGCGGCGGCAUAGAGAGAGAAUGGGUGCGGCGACAUAGAGAGAGAAGAGAUAUAUGUGUAAUUGUGAGGUGUUUUCUAUUCCACCCCAUUCUGCCUUUAUUUAUAAUAGUAGGGAAGGUUAAAUCCUUACCCUAAUAGGAUUACAACUCUAAUAGGAUAAUAUUUAACCCCAGAGAAUAUUCCAAGAUAUCCCUAGAUACACUAAGAUUUACACAAUCACAUUCCUAAUCUAAUAGGACUGCAACACUCCCCAUUGAGUGUGUAAAUACUUAACUAAAUGGCGCAUCAGGUCUUUAGCGAUGAAGUAAGUACAAUUGAUGAAGUCGUCGGCACAAUGAGCGAAUGCGAGUUUUAGAUCAAUGGAAGAAUGCAUAAAAGGUAAAACUCAUAAAAACUCGCUAUGGUAAAACCCAAGGUGGGAGAAAAACCCCGUAGACUAAGGAGAAAAGUGAGAAUUUGCAUUAAGUCAAAACUAUAUGUCUUCUGGACGCAAGUAAAAGAGCUCAUAAGAGUAUGAUUAGCCCAAGGUGGGUGCCUCAUCAAAACCUAGUUAGGUAGCAAAAAUCCAGUGGGAAAAAUGCUCCUAAUCGUAUGGAAAAAUAGUACAUUAAGAUCAAGUAAGUAUACUUUUGGAUACUCCCCCUGAGUUUGACAUAACUUCCAAAUAAGAACUAUAAGCAUUUGCAUAUGAAUAGUUAGGCACCAAUUCCUCGGACAAGCUUCUGGAAGGUUGACUUUGGCAAUGACGUCGUGUAGAGGUCAAUAAGGUUGUCUGGGAUUGGUUUUGCAUGACUUCAAUUUCCUAAUACUUUGUUGAUGUAAAUGUAGACGCAAUAUGUCUUGGUGUUGACUUCGUUGAUGUAUCAUGUCUUGGUCGGGUUGAUACAUGCAACAUAAUCUUCAUGGAUUGUCGUUGGGACUCAACGAUGGAUGAAAAACAACAAGUACUUUGAAUAUGCUCAACAAGAGCUCUCAACUAUGUCUCACGUGUGGCGUAGUGAAGUGAGAUGAGUCUUGGAAUGAUUCAAAAGUUUCGUAACUAAGGCCAUAUCGUGGACCUCCAAGAUAUUGCGUAUCCCUAACGGUAAAGACAUAACCAUUCGGGGAUUUACCUUGUACGGGUUUGAUAAGUAACCAGUGUCAACAUAACAACAAGGCAAGCAUCAUUCCAAGGAUUAAGGGGGUUGGAUCCGCUCGGGAUGCGUUAGGAUUUGCCUAAAUCCGUAGUACCUUUAGGGUGGCGGAAAACAUCUUUAAUACCAAUUCAGUGGUUGCUUGUAGGCGCGAUGCUGCAUCUUUACCAAUAAAUCAAUAGCGAAGGAGAUGUCUUGUCUAACAUAAUGAGCUAAGUACAACAAAGCGCAAAGUUGAACUUAGAUAUGGAAUUUGGUAGUGCAUAACCUCUUCAAGGGUCUCAUUUGCAUAUAACGUAUGGAAGAUCAUAGGUAUACUCAAAAGGUAACACCUUCGAGGUGUAGUUUGACUGGUAGACCAAAGUACAGUCAAAACAAUGCUUAAUCUUCAAGUCAAGGCUCAAAUUCCAUCUUCAGGUGCAAGGAAGUUUUCUCAAGCUCUUCUAGAGUUUUAGUGAGAUUCAUGUCAUUGACAUAAACUGUAACUCUAGCAAUUCGGAAUAAGACUUCAUAGUUUAACACGCAAGGGCAUUCAUUCAUAUCCCUGACUGAUCAAAUAAUCACUUAGACGGAUGUACCACAUUUGCCGGAUUGCUUCAAUCCUUAAGUGAGUGCCUCAAACAAGUUAAGAGGGUGUUCCGUGGUUUGGAACUAUUUGAACCAGUCCAUGUGAUUCUUUGGGAACUUACAUGAAAAUCUUCGUAUCAAUAUUCCCAUGGAGAAAUACUAACCACUUUCGUAAUGCUGCAGUCAACUACAUGGUGUUUGAGAAAAACCUUGUGCCGUAAGGCAUGCAUCAUAUCGCACUGUUUCUUUAUCUCAUUACGCAUCCUUUUCCAAUUGUAACACAACAGGGUUACUUUAGGCAGUGUAGGAAAGAUAGUUCCAAACACACUUUGGUAAGGAAUUUAACCUGAAUAGUAAUUUUGGUUGUCCAAUCCAUUCUACGUUGUUACUAAUCAACGGAACAUGGUUCGAUAUCGUACCUUUCAUUUAAGUCUGUAGCUACCAUAUAAAUGAAAACAUCAUCAAUGAUAAUCUCAUUCCAAUUCUGUUAUCUCAUCCAAACUAAUAUACUGGACCAAGAACUUCAAGUCUCGGGAGUAAUUCAGAUUAAUCUCAUGAGAUGGAAAUGAUUUGAGACAACGAUCGAGUACAUAUUCAUCCCAUUGUGCCUUUAUUUAUAGUAGUAGGGAAAGUUAAAUCAUUACCCUAAUAGGAUUAGAACUCUAAUAGGAUAAUAACUAACCCUAGAGAAUAUUCUAAGAUAUCCCUAGAUUUCUAUGAUUUUAAUUUCUCCGGCUCAGGUAGUCACUUUUAAUCAGUCUAUCAGUCAUGUCGUUAAUUAACGCGUUUAUGAUAUUUUGACAUUGUUCAUUACCCUGAAACUAUGAACCAAUGUUCUGGCACAAAUGUAUCACUCCCAGACACUAGCAUGUGUUCGGUAUAAAAAAUCAUACCGCCUGAAUACUGGUUAACAACUUCUGGAUAUCAGACAAUAUUGUCAAUAAGUAGCGUCACCGUAUACUAAUUAUAGGUUAGAGCCCACUUGGGUGGAUGGUUUCGGAUGAUUGGUAAAAAUUGGUCUUAAUGACUUGGUUUUGUUGAUUCUAAGGGAAAUUUACUUACUUACUGCUCAUGGGAUUUUUUCUAGCCAAGGGUAUAACAACUCAUACUCCCAUGCCUAUACUCAUCGUAAUGACGAGUACAUCAUCAAGGAAAUCCUGGGAAUUAGUGUUGAUUGUAGUGUUCUAAGGUUGGGAAAAGGAAUUUGCUAAUGAUCUACUCAUUAUAGGGUUUAAUAGAAUAUAAUCUUCCUCCUGAAGAUUCGAAAUUAUAACUAUAGUUGACAGAUAUAGUCGGGGACCAAAGGUGGUUGUUACCACGAAAAGUAAAACUUCGUAAGAAUUUUGAUAGAUGGUAUUCUAAUAGGCAUUGCCAAGGAAUCAAAACUAUUUAUGGUUCCUAUCUUGAAAAGUUUGGUAAUGAAGGCGGGAGAAUAAUGAUGGGAUUGAUUGGUAAAUCUCUGGUGAUACACAACUAUUGACACAAUAGCCCUGUUUCAGGGCCAUUAACUCAUCUCAAAUCUACAUAUUUCCCUAGCAAGGAGCUUAAAGUCUAAAGGCAUUCUCCAAAAUGAUCAUCUAAAAUGUUGAUAAGUCGCCUAAAUCGCCCAAAACUUAGGAAAAGCUAACAUGUUUUUCAUGCUCUAUGAGGUGGCAAGAUUCGCUAAUUAAAUUCAAGAAUCAAGGAUGCCUACAUCACAUGUGUGGUGAAUGCAAUAUUGCCUAAACUUAUGCUCUAAUAACAAACUAACACACCCCAAUCCGGAAUGUCCACCUGGACUCCGAAUCGAGUUGUGGUGGCUGACACCAGGAAGGUGACGAAGCCAUAAGGUGUAGUGAGGUGGAAAUGUGAAUAAAUUUAAACUAAAAGUGACUAGAUGCAAGAGUGCACAUGUGAGCCGGAUUGAACCCAAUCCACACAUAAUGUCAGAGCAUAAGUAAAGUACAACAAAGGUAGAGGAAAAAUUAUACAAUCGGGAGUUUUCCCAUAACAACGUUUUGCCAGAAAGUCCUUGUCGACACGAAAGCUCUGCCACUAAAACCUAGAUGGGAGAAAAAACAAGGGUGAGUGGGCCUAAAAAUAAAGCUUUGUAAAAACCUUUUCUAAAAUGUAUAACCCCUCGCCGUAAAACAAGUAUAGUUUCCAAAUAUAACAUACUACGUAUAGUAUGAAAAUACUUACCAUAGCCAACGAUUCCUCAAAAAAUGCAAUACUUCACAAUAAUUUGUAAAUAAGCAUAUAACUUCCAGUAAUCACAAUAUCUCGUAGAAAUAAACAUAUCAUAUCGAGUGUUCAUCGACAUAUGUUGACACACGAGUUCAUGCAGACAUAUUCUCACAUAAACAUAACUAGGUGUAAUAAUGAACUACGCUCUAGUACUACAAUCACGUGAAGACUGGUGCUAUGCACAUCACAGACAAGUUCUAAUUGCCUAUAACAAUCUAGGAUAGGACUAGCACUCCAAAGUGAGCGUAUAGUGCGAUGUGAACAUACACGUGAAGCCUGGCCCUGGCUCGGGCUAGUACAAACAAUAGUGUAGCACACUAUGAGUAGAUAACGUAAAUAUAGUCAUGUCACAGUGAUUCAAUAAUUCUAGUCAACAUAAUACUAUUCAUAACCGUAAAUCUAAUUAAGGCAUCCAAUAUGAUUUAUAAUGAUUUCCUAAUUCUCAUUAUACAACAUUCCUUAUAAACGUUGAUUUAAUUACGGCAUCACAUAGAAAAUUCGUUAUUAGAUGUAUGUAUGGAAACUAAACAAUUAUAUAUAUAUAUAUAAAAGAAAAUUUCCACUCACAGAUACUUGUGAAGUCGUAAUUGUUUGAACGAGUAAAUACGGAUCGUACCUAAGUAUAAUAGAGACUUGUUAGUAAAACUCAACUAAAAUCAUUAAAUUUGGGAAAAUAGAGUGCAUAUUUGGAAUCAGGGUGUCGAAAUAUGCUAAGAAGGGUCCUGAACAAUUUUCGUAAAAAGUCAAGCCUAAAAAGUCAACUACGUUAAAACUUUGGAAUUUCACUAAAUGGAUGCCAAAAAUGGACUCAGAGGUGUCAAAAAUAGCCUAGGAGGGUUUCCGAGAAUAUUCCAAAUCCAAUUAGGAAUCGGUUGGGUCGGAUCCAGUACGCGGAUCCGGGUUUAGGCUGGUUUGCGGGUUCGGUUUUGGUUUAUGGGUUGGGUCGACCCAUUUUUAGGUUAUGGGUCGGUCGGAAUCUGGGCAACAAUCCCAAAGCUCCGAUCAAGCUCAAAAUACAACUAUAAUACAGAAAAUUAUACAUGUAUUUGAAACUUAAAGAGAGAGGAAUAAUUUUAUACCAAAAUCACGUCGAGUCGUGGUCGAGAUAGGCUGGAAAGGCUUGCAACUAGCGAUGUCAUGGUUGGAAAACUAGGGAGACUUCCCGAGUUAAUUUUUGCACCAAAUUGUCGCAAAAACACGUGUAUAAGGAGUUAAUCGUCAUUAAAAUGAAACGGGAAAAGCAAACCAUGUGGUCUAGACCUUACCUUUAUUGGAUUCAUUAGACUUUCGCCCGAAUCCUCUUGGAUUUUGAAUGGAGCUCAGCUUCCUAGCCGUGAAAAGAGAGAGUGUGAGAGAGAAAGAUUAACAAGAGGGAGAGAGAAAGAGAGAUGAUCUAUGUGUUGGUUUGGUGGAGCUCACUGGAGAAGAUGGCGAGUUGGUGGACGUUGGCCUCGGCGCCGGGGGUUGCAGAGGGAAGAUAGAGUUAGAGUGAGAGAGAGAUGCGAGAGAAGAUAAAGAGAAAAAAGAGUGUCUAAGAGAGUGGGGGGAUGAGUGACACGUGGCAAGAGAGGAGAGAAGAGUUGGUGUGGGUAUGGACCUCAUGGGCUAGAAAAAAAUAUUUAAAAUAUUAAAAUAAUAAAAUACCCAAAAAUUCAAAUUUACUAAAACACCCUCAAGUUUCAUAGUUUCGUAAAAUUUUAACCGUAACUUCGAUUUUGAUUUCAUUUGCACCUACACGUUCGUACCGUCAAGUACAUCGAGAAUAUGGUAAAAUAAUAGCUCAUACGCAUCACGAAAUGAUGGUCAAUGAAAGUCAACAAUCUCUCCACUAAGGCAUUUCCGUCAAUUCACUCUUUUAAAAUUAAUAAAAUCGUAAAAUUAGGAACGAGUUGUUACAAUCUACCCACCAUAAAAAAAAAAUUUCGUCCUCAAAAUUGGAAAUAAGUUGCUAUACAUAAAAUACUCCAAAAAAUAGGAAGAAAAAAAAUAUAUAUAAAGAAGAUAUCAAGUCUGAACGGUUGCAUAAAUGAGAAUGCCAUUCUGUCGCGAUCGGGUUACAAUAAUUCCUCUUUCAUGCCUCCAAACUCAAACUUUUCUUCUCCUUUAGUACAAUACUAUAAUAUAAUACUUUUAUAAAAACGUGAAGUCAAAAAUAGAUAUAUAAUAACAUAAUGCCAAAAUACGUAUAUAAUAACGUAAAAUUAAAAUAGUUGUACUGAAAUCAAAACUGAACAUACAAAAAUUUCAUCUACGCACUUGUAGCAUCACGUACUCCAAGAAUAAGUGUAGUAUCUUUGGGUCAAGCUUAAACAAUAAAUAAAUAAAUAUACUAACAUAGACGGGAUUACUUGUUCACUUGCUUAACGAACCCAACAAAUAAGCUAUCAAUAUUAUGGUCUACAGCUCACAAUACCAACAACUCACUAUUGUCUUGAUAAGCAAGUAAUAAAUUUUCGAGGGUGCAAUAUUACCAUCUUGCCCCUCAUUGGGAAACUGUGCAUAAGUCGUUAGAUUUAUGCCUCGAUUGGGCUCAUGCACUACCAUCUUGGGCGACAUCGUCUAUAGCACAUAAUUUCCAACAUCGUAAUCUCAAACCUUCAAAUACCUCUUCGCAAUACUCUUAUGUACACCACGUGCUAUCCGUAGAAUUCGCCAUACAACAUCUCAAAUGGUGUCAUACCCAACAUCUUAAAUUGCGCCUACGUGUUCGUACCGUUGAGUACUUCGAGAAUACGGUAAAAUAAUAGCUCAUACACGUCACGAAAUGACAAUCAACGAAAAUCAACAAUCUCUCCACUAGGGCAUUUUCGUCAAUUCACUAUUUUAAAAUUAAUAAAAUCGUAAAAUUAGUGACGAGUUGUUACAGGACUAGUUUGAUAUUGAAUUUUGUCCUAACCAUUAAAUAAAGUUAGUUGAAUUUUUUUGUUAAGAUUAGGAUUUUGAAAGCAUUUCAUUAGUUUUCUUUAUUAUUUAACUCAAAAAUAGGACACAAACCCAAAAGAUUUAACUAAAGUUAAAUUUUUUGUUUGUAAAUUAAAAUAAGAAUUGUUUAUAAAACCCCCCAAAAAAAAAAAGAACUUAUCAUUGAAAUGUAAAUUACUAUAAGUUCGCUCAAAAUAAAGUUAAAAUUACUAUUUCUAAAACCCAAAAAUUAAAUUUUUUUUGUUUUUUUUAAAUUUCGAUUUGACUUAAUAUUAUUGUUUAAUUCGUUCUAAAUCAUGCAAGAUUGUAUUAUUAACUCCACUAAUUUAUCAAAACUAAAGUUAAAACCAUUAUUCUAAAUUGAAAUAAGCAUUGUUUCUAAAACUCAAAAGAUAAAAGUCUUUCUUCUUUGUUUUGGAUUGUAAUUUGACUUCAUAUUAUUAUUUGAUUUGUCAUAAAUAAUGCAUGGUUAUAUUAUAUUCCCAUCUCUACCUAGCAUGAGGUAUUUUGGAAGCUCACUGGCUUCGGGUUCCAUCGAAACUCUGAAGUUAAGCGAGUAGCUCGAGAGAGCAAUCCCAUGAUGGGUGAUCCACUAGGAAGUUCUCGUGUGAGUUCCUAGAAACAAAACAGUGAGGUAAUGGUAAGCCCAAAGCGGACAAUAUCGUGCUACGGUGGUGGAACGAGCCCGGGAUGUGGUGGACCCAGGCUGGGAUGCGACAAAAUGGUAUCAGAGCCAAUCCCUGGCCAGAGGUGAGCCGACGAGGACGUCGGGCCCUUAAGGGGGGUGGAUUGUGACAUCCCACAUCGCCCAAGGAAGUGAUCAUUAAAUGUAUAUUCCCAUCCCUACAUAGCACGAGGCCUUUUAGGAACUCACUGGCUUCGAGUUCCAUAAGAACUCUGAAGUUAAGCGAGAAGGAGGCCAGAGCACUCCUAGGAUGGGUAACCCACUGGGAAGUUGCUCGUGAGUUCCCAAAAACAAAACCGUGAGGGAAUGGUAAGCCCAAAGCAGAAAAUAUCGUGCUACAGUGGUGGAAUGGGCCCGGGAUGUGGUGGACCCAGGCCGGGAUGUGACAAAAUGGUAUCAGAGCCAAUCCCUGGCCGGAAAUGUGCCGACGAGGACGUCGGGCCCUUAAAGGGGGUGAAUUGUGAUAUCCCACAUCGCCAAGGGGAGUGAUCCUUAAAUAUGUAUUCUCAUCCCUACCUAGCAUGAGGCCUUUUGGGAGCACACUGGCUUCGGAAUCGACAGGAACUCUGAAGUUAAGCGAAAAGGAAGCCAGAGCAUUCCCAGGAUGGGUGACCCACUGGGAAGUUGCUCGUAAGUUCCCAAAAACAAAAACCAUGAGGGAAUGGUAACAAAAACCAUGAGGGAAUGGUAAGCCCAAAGCAGAAAAUAUCGUGCUACGGUGGUGGAACGGGCUCGGGAUGUGGUGGACUCAGGUCGGGAUGUGACAAUUUGGUAUCAGAGCCAAUCCCUGGCCGGAAGUGUACUGACGAGGACGUCGGGCCCCUAAGGGGGUGGAUUGUAAUAUCCCACAUCGCCUAGGGGAGUGGAUCAUGUAAGCCUUAUAUGUAUAUUCCCAUCUCUACCUAGCAUGAGGCCUUUCGGGAGCUCAUUGACUUCGAGUUCCAUCGGAACUCUGAAGUUAAGCGAGUAGCGCGAGAGAGCAAUCUCAUGAUGGGUGACCCACUGGGAAGUUCUCAUGUAAGUUCCCAGAAACAAAACCGUGAGGGAAUGGUAAGCCCAAAGCGGAUAAUAUCAUGCUACGGUGGUGGAACGGGCCCGGAAUGUGGUAGACCCAGGCCGGGAUGUGACAAAAUGAUAUCAGAGCCAAUCCCUGGCCAGAAGUGUGCCGACGAGGACGUCGGGCCCCUAAGGGGGUGGAUUGUGACAUCUCACAUCACCCAGGGGAGUAAUCCUUAAAUGUAUAUUAUCAUCCCUACGUAGCACGAGGCCUUUUGGGAGCUCACUGGCUUCGAGUUUCGUAGGAACUCCGAAGUUAAGCGAGAAGGAGGCCAGGUCACUCCCAGGAUGGGUGACCCACUGGGAAGUUGCUCGUGAGUUCCCAAAAACAAAACCGUGAGGGAAUGUUAAGCCUAAAGCGGACAAUAUCGUGCUACGAUGGUGGAACGGGCCCGAGCCGUGAGGGAAUGUUAAGCCUAAAGCGGACAAUAUCGUGCUACGGUGGUGGAACGGGCCCGAGAUGUGGUGGACCCAAGCCGGGAUGUGACAGUACUACCAUAAGCUCAAUAUGUAUAAUUUACCUAUAUAUAUAGUACUACUAUAUGUUCAAAUAUAUGUAUGUAUGUUUGUGUAUAUGCACAGUACUACAUAUUUGAUCAAAUAUAUUAUACUAAUUAAUCUACCUAUAUGUAAAUUUAUGAUGAGCAAAUAAUAUAUAUUUUGUAGAUAUUUUAUUUUGUAUGUAUCAUCAUAAAUAUUGGGCACAUUUUAUUAUUAUUUAAUCUCUUAAAUAUAAAAUUGUUGUUCGGAAAAAAAAAUAUAAGUUGUUGGAAGUUUAGAAGACUAGCCAACUUUCCCCACCAGCUUUACAAGACUCGAUCAAAGGCCUUUUAUGUGUGCGAAUUUUUAGUGGUCUUCCAGUACUUUUCUUUGUCUGGAUAUAUAUAACAAUUUCUAACCAAAUCAUCAACCACGUAAAGUCGAUUAUACAUAAAUGAGGAGGCGACGACAGGGAUUAAGAUAGAUUAAUUAUUUUUCUUUUAAUACCAAUAGUUUCGUUGAACAGAGACAAACGAAAUUGUUGAUUCCAUUGAAAAAUUUCCUAAACCUAACUUUAGUUGACCAAAUUAAGACAGUUCUCUCUCAUAAUUUUCGAAUGUCCCUGCAUUAUCAAAGGUGGUGACGGUGGCAGUUUGGUGUUAUGGGUUAAUCUAAUGAAUAUCGUUUUAAUUAACAAACCAAUAACGAAUUUGAGUAUGACCUGAGGAUCCAAAAUAAAGUUGACCAUAUCUGUGAUGUGACCAUUUAUGUCUACCUCCACAUAAGACAACCCCUUCCAGAAAUUUGGUUCAAUUUCUGGGAUUUUAAUCUGUCAAAGUUGGAAUGCACGAGUAGUGGUUUAGGGUUUCAUCGAACGGUCAGCUGAGAUGGGUGGGAUUCGUAGCAACGGCGAAAUGAUCAUGAGAUCUUGUCAACUUAUUGAAAAGUCUUCGAGAUUUAUCUCCCUCUCCAAGAAACAAAUAUCAAUUCAUUGUUACUCAAUAUACUGAAACAAAUUUUAUAAUUGUUAUCUGCACAUCUGUAAAAUGAAUUUAAUUAAGGGGUGUGCUAUUUACACAUAAUUUUUUACUUCACACACACCACUUGUUAAUUUUUGUUAUUUGAUUUUCUUCAAUUCAUCUAAUUCAACGGCUGAAAAUUAAAAAAAUAUGUAAAAAGUAAAAAAUGAUAUAUGGAUAUCAUAUCUCUUUAAUUAAUUAUUUCCACAUGCAUAUUUCUUACUUUCUCUGUUUUCUAUCUGUUGUUUAUUAUUUCAUACUCCAAAUAUACAAUAUACAUUUCCCAUAUCAUAUUGGUUGAUAAAAAAACAUAACAUAUCAUGUACAUGUAAUUAAGUAAACAAUAUAGUAUCCCACCCCCCAUAUCUAAACUACCUAUUAAUAGAAUUCUAAUUGUUAACUAAAAUCCCAUGAAAUUAUCAUUCUAACCCUCUAAUUAAAAUUGAACAUGAAUAAGAAAUAUGGGCAAUAAUAUAAUUUCACACAACCAAAAUUUUGUUUUUUUUUUUUCAAAGCCUUACCUACAUGUAAUUUUAACAUACAUCUAAAUAAAUAAAAUAAAAUAAAAUAAAGCUCUCUCCCCUCCCUCUCCACUCCCACGUUCUCUCUCACUUCCUCUCUCCUUCCAUUUUUAAAACAAAGUUCCUCUCACACUUUGUGUGUGACCAUAUGCUAGUUAUACAUAGAAAAAAAGGGAGAUUUAACGAAACACUUCCAAUACUGUUUACUUUUAAUGAAAAACAAUAUUUUUACCUUUCCGUGGUACUAUUCACUACACCUUUAUUUGUCAUUUUUCUUUAAAACUAAAGUUUUUUUUUUAUUUUUCGUUAGUUUUCCUAAAAAAAAAGACCAAAUAGUUAUAUAAUAUAUAUAUUUAUUCUAUUAUGGGUAAUGACAAUCUUUGGGGUUUAAGACGUCCUAAUUGUAAAAAAAAAACCUCAACAAAUUAACAAAUUGAAUCCCUGACACAUCAGCUAAAGUAACGUAUAUUAUUUGAUCAAGUUGAGAGAAUGGGAUGAGUGUAAAGAGCGACAGAAUAGAGUGUAUGAUUAAGAAAUAAAUUUUGUAUAGAGUACUCGGGACUUAGCUAAACAUAAACCCUUUAAUUUCUUAAGUGCUGAGAAUUCUUCCUAAAUUAAAUACAAAAAAGAAAAAUACAUUUACACAAAUGGCACGCGACCUUUUCCACUUAACAAAAAUACUUAAUAUUUCUAAUGUCAACGUACUUCCGUACUAGUUUUACAUUCAGAACUAUUCAAAUCUAAACGUGUUCUUCUAGUACACCGCAAGAGUUCCCUUUUCUUAAAAUUCGUCAGCCUGUAAAGUGUAGUUUGGACACGGUCAAAUUGAUCGACGUUAUUCAACAUGGUUGGUUGCUUGAAGAACAAAGUUUCUGACUUGUGUUCAUAUCUUUAUCCUAGCAUUCUCUGACGGAUCCCCAAUUUAAACAAACUGUUAACUGCAUAUACGAUACCAAAGUCAUUUUAUAUACCUUUAUCUUCGACAUUUCAAAGUCCUUGUCAAAACAAAUGCAAAUUUGUUUGCUAAUUUUCCACGUAAUUGUGGAAAUAAUGGGUUAGCAACUACUUUCCAAAUGCCUAUAUAAACAUAGCAUAUAUCGACCUCUGAGAUAUCACAAGAAAAAUACAAAGGAGACUUUGGAUGUUGUCAUUAGCUAUGAAUAUUCUUUGAUUGAAAUAUUGUUGGUUUUUAAUUUUUGGUCGAGGUCCCUGAAAUUAAUGUGAUAAUUUAUUUUUAUGUACGUUACUAUAUUUUUUAAAUUAAAAAUUAGAAAUUUUAGUUGUUUAUAUAAAUGAGAUUUUAAAUAAAAAAACCAUAAUUUGUGGGACUAAAAUAUUAAAAUAUAAAUAUACUAUUGUGUGUGUGUGUGUGUGUGUGUGUAUAAACAUGGGUACAUUCAUCAAAAUUAACCAAACAAAUUAUUGUAUCAAAACAUGGGUAUAUUCUUCAAAAUCACACAAAAAAAAAAAAGAAGAUAUUAGGCUUAAUAACAUUAGUAAAUUUCUUCGAUUAAACUUGACAUGGAUACAUUUUAAAAUCAAAGAAAAAAAUUAAUGUACCCAUGUAAGUUUAAAAAUGGAUUAGAAAAAAAAAAUUGAAUAGAUUUUAUAUAAAAAAAAGGUACAUUUUACAUAUAACAAAUUGAUAUAUUUAAUAAUGAAUACAUUUUAAGAUUAAAAAGUUUUACAUGAAUGGGUACAUAUAAUUAGCAUGAGUACAUUUAGCAAAAUAAAAAGUACAAAUAAAAAAAAUAUGGGUACAAAUACAAAUAAACUUUAAAAAAUAUGGGCACAAAAAGAAAUUAAUAUAUGGGUACAAAUUAAAAUUGAAAAGAAAAUUGGUACAAAUUAAAAAAGGGUACAAACUAAAACUAAAAAUAUAUGAUAAAAAAAUUUAGUCAUAAAUAUAAAUAUAAAUAUACUAAUUGUAACAUUUUUAACAUUAAAUUAAUAUAUUUAGAAAUAAAAAAAUAUUUUAUUAUUGAAAUAAUUAAUGAUGUUAUUAAUACCCAAAGACCUUGAUCAAAAAUUAAAAAAGAAUAGGAUUUUAAUCAAUGAAGUAGUAAAAGGAAAGAUUAGAACCUAAUUUCUCCAAAAUACAAUAUUCCAUAAAAAUAGACGAUUCUCAAACUUCUCAUUUCCCUUGAGCUAGCUCUUUUAAUUUGUUCCCCAUAUGGCACGCUUAGCCUUUGAGCUAGCUCUUUUACUAUUCACUGGUAAAUACCAAUUAUUCAAAACCAUUUAACAACCCCCAAGGGGAAAGUUGAGUUAAAGUUUUGUUCACGUUGUAUAGUUUCUUAAUGCAAGCAUGGAAUCUUUCAACUUCUUAGUCCAUGGGUGGAUGGGCCUACAUAUGUAACUCAAUGCCCUAUACGCCCCGAACAACGUUAUACUUACAAAUUUAAUAUCACUAGACAAGAAGGCACCCUUUGGUGGCAUGCCCACAUUUCAUGGCUCCGUGCAAUUGUCCACGGAGCGCUCAUAAUCCACCCGAAAGCCGGUCGAUCCUUCCCCUUCCCCAAGCCCACCAAAGAAGUUCCCAUCUUGUUAGGUAAUUAACGAUUAAACUAUACCAUUCAACUUGCUUAAGGUUAAUCGUAAUAUGUACUUUAAACAAUAAUUUUGAUGAAUAAUAUUUUUUUAACAACUUUUUUUAUGACUAAUUAUAUAUUACCUGUUUGAUGGAAUUGCAGGAGAGUGGUACAAUGGCAAUGUGGUUGACAUUGAGGAAGAAGGCAUGUCUAAAGGAAUUGCUCCUAACAUUUCAAAUGCUUACACCAUCAAUGGACUUCCCGGCGAUCUUUACGAUUGCUCUCAAAAUCGUACGUAACCAUGCAUGCAUACACGUAAAUUUAUUGAUUUAGUUUAUGUGUUAUUUUGCAUGAUGAGUAUUAACAAAUUGACAUCAAAUUAUCAGAAUCAUAUCAACUAAGUGUGGUGAGAGGAAAGACCUACCUGCUACGCUUAAUUAACGAUGGACUCAAUACCCAGCUAUUCUUCAAGAUAACCAAUCACAAGAUGACAGUUGUCGCCAUCGACGCUAUCUACACCACUCCUUACGUUAGCGACAUGGUGGUUACCGGACCUGGUCAGACCACCGACGUUCUUGUCAAAUUCAAUCAACCUAUUGGAUC
rnacentral:lncRNA from 1 species